UUUACAAAUAUCUCAAGAAGGGAGUGGGU
rnacentral:piRNA from 1 species